CAUAACGGUCAUAGCGGAGGUGUACAUCCGAUCCCAUUCCGAUCUCGGAAAUUAAGCCCUCCAGCGAUUUCUUAAGUACUGCCAUAUGGUGGGAACAAGAUGACGCUGUUAGUC
rfam:Methanococcus voltae A3, complete genome.